CGAGUGGUCGGGACGUUUAUUGGGCCUAAAGCAUCCGUAGCCGGUUCUACAAGUCUUCCGUUAAAUCCACCUGCUUAACAGAUGGGCUGCGGAAGAUACUAUAGAGCUAGGAGGCGGGAGAGGCAAGCGGUACUCGAUGGGUAGGGGUAAAAUCCGUUGAUCCAUUGAAGACCACCAGUGGCGAAGGCGGCUUGCCAGAACGCGCUCGACGGUGAGGGAUGAAAGCUGGGGGAGCAAACCGG
rnacentral:rRNA from 1 species